UGAUUAUAUCGUUUUGAAACACCAGUUCUCGUGAGAUCAGCGAAGUUAAACAACACCAAGCCUGGUCAGUAUCUAAAUGGGUGACCGCUUGCGGAUACCAGGUGCUGUAA